AAGAGUUCGCAAUGAAUAUGAGUGAGUAAUAGUCGGUAGAUAGGGUUUUAAGGGACAAAGAGAUACUUUUAUUAAUUGUAUAUGGGCAAUAUUAGAAUAAAAAUGAGUAAAACUAUGUUUAUCCAUUGAGUUAGUGGUUUUAAAAAUUUGGCAAACCUGUAAUUAAACCAUGAAAAAAUCAUGAAAUACCAUGAUCAUGACUUGUCAUUCUUCUCAAACACAACUAUGAACUAUACUUACAGUAAGAAGUCACAA
rnacentral:misc_RNA from 1 species